rnacentral:rRNA from 1 species
UACAUGGGGUGCAAACGUUGCUCGGAAUUAUUGGGCGUAAAGCGCGCGUAGGCGGUUACUUAAGUCGGAUGUGAAAGCCCUCGGCUUAACUGAGGAAGUGCACCCGAAACUGAGUAGCUAGAGUACGAAAGAGGGUCGCGGAAUUCCCGGUGUAGAGGUGAAAUUCGUAGAUAUCGGGAGGAACACCAGUGGCUAAGGCGACUACCUGGCCUGUUCUUGACGCUGAGGCGCGAAAGCUAGGGGAGCAAACGGG